rnacentral:rRNA from 1 species
CGGAACGAGUUAUCUGAACCUUCGGGGAACGAUAACGGCGUCGAGCGGCGGACGGGUGAGUAAUGCCUAGGAAAUUGCCCUGAUGUGGGGGAUAACCAUUGGAAACGAUGGCUAAUACCGCAUAAUGCCUACGGGCCAAAGAGGGGGACCUUCGGGCCUCUCGCGUCAGGAUAUGCCUAGGUGGGAUUAGCUAGUUGGUGAGGUAAGGGCUCACCAAGGCGACGAUCCCUAGCUGGUCUGAGAGGAUGAUCAGCCACACUGGAACUGAGACACGGUCCAGACUCCUACGGGAGGCAGCAGUGGGGAAUAUUGCACAAUGGGCGCAAGCCUGAUGCAGCCAUGCCGCGUGUGUGAAGAAGGCCUUCGGGUUGUAAAGCACUUUCAGUCGUGAGGAAGGUAGUGUAGUUAAUAGCUGCAUUAUUUGACGUUAGCGACAGAAGAAGCACCGGCUAACUCCGUGCCAGCAGCCGCGGUAAUACGGAGGGUGCGAGCGUUAAUCGGAAUUACUGGGCGUAAAGCGCAUGCAGGUGGUUUGUUAAGUCAGAUGUGAAAGCCCGGGGCUCAACCUCGGAAUUGCAUUUGAAACUGGCAGACUAGAGUACUGUAGAGGGGGGUAGAAUUUCAGGUGUAGCGGUGAAAUGCGUAGAGAUCUGAAGGAAUACCGGUGGCGAAGGCGGCCCCCUGGACAGAUACUGACACUCAGAUGCGAAAGCGUGGGGAGCAAACAGGAUUAGAUACCCUGGUAGUCCACGCCGUAAACGAUGUCUACUUGGAGGUUGUGGCCUUGAGCCGUGGCUUUCGGAGCUAACGCGUUAAGUAGACCGCCUGGGGAGUACGGUCGCAAGAUUAUAACUCAAAUGAAUUGACGGGGGCCCGCACAAGCGGUGGAGCAUGUGGUUUAAUUCGAUGCAACGCGAAGAACCUUACCUACUCUUGACAUCCAGAGAACUUUCCAGAGAUGGAUUGGUGCCUUCG